UGGCGGCGUGGUUAAGACAUGCAAGUCGAGCGAUAGGUUUCCUUCGGGAGGCUGAAAAGCGGCAAACGGGUGAGUAACACGUAAGCAACCUGCCUCUUAGUGGGGAAUAGCCUACCGAAAGGUGGAUUAAUGCCCCAUGUGGCUUCUUCUCACAUGAGGAGGAUGCCAAAGCUUGUAAUGGCGCUAAGAGAGGGGCUUGCGGCCUAUCAGCUAGUUGGCGGGGGUAAUGGCCCACCAAGGCGAAGACGGGUAGCCGGUCUGAGAGGAUGGUCGGCCACACUGGAACUGAGACACGGUCCAGACAUCUACGGAUGGCAGCAGUUUCGAAUUAUUCACAAUGGACGAAAGUCUGAUGGUGCGACGCCGCGUGGAGGAUGAAGGUCUUCGGAUUGUAAACUCCUGUCAUUGGGGAGCAAAAUCGAGGUUCAUAGUCUCGCUUGAGUUAACUCAAAGAGGAAGUAGUGGCAAACUCUGUGCCAGCAGCCGCGGUAAUACAGAGACUACGAACGUUACUCGGAUUUACUGGGCGUAAAGGGUGCGCAGGCGGCGAGGUGUGUCGGGUGUGAAAGACUGGAGCUCAACUCCAGCACUGCGCUCGAAACUGUCUUGCUAGAGUCUCGGAGAGGUAAGUGGAAUUUCAGGUGUAGCAGUGAAAUGCGUAGAUAUCUGAAGGAACACCAAAGGCGAAGGCAGCUUACUGGAAGAGUACUGACGCUCAGGCACGAAAGCGUGGGGAGCAAAAGGGAUUAGAUACCCCUGUAGUCCACGCCCUAAACAUUGUACACUAGGUCUUGGGACAUUCGACCGUUUCAGGAUUCAAGCUAACGCAAUAAGUGUACCGCCUGAGGACUACGGCCGCAAGGCUAAAACUCAAAGGAAUUGACGGGGGCCCGCACAAGCGGUGGAGCAUGUGGCUUAAUUCGAUGCUACGCGAAGAACCUUACCUAGGUUUGACAUGUGGGAGACAGGGUGUGAAAGCACCUCUUCCUUCGGGACUGCCACACAGGUGCUGCAUGGCUGUCGUCAGCUCGUGUCGUGAGAUGUUCGGUUAAGUCCGGCAACGAGCGCAACCCUCGUCCUUAAUUGCCAGCGGGUCAUGCCGGGGACUUUAAGGAGACAAGCUCUCUUUGAGAGUGGGAAGGUGGGGAUGACGUUAAGUCAGCAUGGCCCUUACGCCUGGGGCUGCACACGUGCUACAAUGCUCGGUACAAUGGGGUGCAAUGUCGCGAGGCGGAGCCGAUCCAAAAAACCGAGCCCAGUUCAGAUUGAAGUCUGCAAUUCGACUUCAUGAAGCCGGAAUCGCUAGUAAUGGUACAUCAGCUACGGUACCGUGAAUACGUUCCCGGGCCUUGUACACACCGCCCGUCAAGUCAUGAAAGCCGGUUUUACCCAAAGUACGCUUUGCUAACCGCAAGGAGGCAGCGUCCUAAGGUAUGGUUGGUGAUUGGGACUAAGUCGUAACAAGGUAACCGUA
rnacentral:rRNA from 1 species